rnacentral:rRNA from 1 species
AUUGAACGCUGGCGGAAUGCUUUACACAUGCAAGUCGAACGGCAGCACGGACUUCGGUCUGGUGGCGAGUGGCGAACGGGUGAGUAAUGUAUCGGAACGUGCCCAGUCGUGGGGGAUAACGUAGUGAAAAUUACGCUAAUACCGCAUACGAUCUAUGGAUGAAAGCGGGGGAUCGCAAGACCUCGCGCGAUUGGAGCGGCCGAGAUCAGAUUAGGUAGUUGGUGGGGUAAAGGCCCACCAAGCCAACGAUCAGUAGCUGGUCUGAGAGGACGACCAGCCACACUGGAAAUGAGACACUGUCCAGACUCCUACGGGAGGCGGCAGUGGGGAAUUUUGGACAAUGGGCGAAAGCCUGAUCCAGCCAUUCCGCGUGCAGAAUGAAGGCCCUCGGGUUGUAAACUGCUUUUGUACAGAACGAAAAGGUUUCUACUAAUACUAGGAGCUCAUGACGGUACUGUAAGAAUAAGCACCGGCUAACUACGUGCCAGCAGCCGCCGUAA